rnacentral:rRNA from 1 species
AACGAACGCUGGCGGCGUGCUUAACACAUGCAAGUCGAACGAUGAACUUGGAGCUUGCUCUGGGGGAUUAGUGGCGAACGGGUGAGUAACACGUGAGUAACCUGCCCUGGACUCUGGGAUAACUUCGAGAAAUCGGAGCUAAUACCGGAUAGGACCUUGCACCGCAUGGUGUGGGGUGGAAAGUUUUUCGGUUUGGGAUGGACUCGCGGCCUAUCAGCUUGUUGGUGAGGUAAUGGCUCACCAAGGCGUUGACGGGUAGCCGGCCUGAGAGUGGGACCGGCCACACUGGGAAUGAGACACGGCCCAGACUCCUACGGGGGGCAGCAGUGGGGAAUAUUGCACAAUGGGCGCAAGCCUGAUGCAGCAACGCCGCGUGCGGGAUGACGGCCUUCGGGUUGUAAACCGCUUUUAGUAGGGAAGAAGCCUUCGGGUGACGGUACCUGCAGAAAAAGGACCGGCUAACUACGUGCCAGCCGCCGCCGUAAGAC